CUGAGGUAUGCUUGGUGUCGUGUCAAAAGCGCGCCGGUUACCCGCCCAUUUGUCAUAUGCGCUGGCCCUACCCUGCCGAAAGGCAGGGGCGGGUCAGGAACAUAACUUCGGUCGAGGUGUUGUGGCAGGUUCUUGCUCUGCAGGACCGACACGACCGCGGCCGGCCCCAUUUUACACUCUUGUGAGAAGAUGAAGUCUGAAGCAAAUGCGAAUUAAAAGCA
rnacentral:misc_RNA from 2 species